GCAAGUCGAACGAAACUUCUUUAUCACCGAGUGCUUGCACUCACCGAUAAAGAGUUGAGUGGCGAACGGGUGAGUAACACGUGGGCAACCUGCCCAAAAGAGGGGGAUAAACACUUGGAAACAGGUGCUAAUACCGCAUAACCAUAGUUACCGCAUGGUAACUAUGUAAAAGGUGGCUAUGCUACCGCUUUUGGAUGGGCCCGCGGCGCAUUAGCUAGUUGGUGGGGUAAAGGCUUACCAAGGCAAUGAUGCGUAGCCGAACUGAGAGGUUGAUCGGCCACAUUGGGACUGAGACACGGCCCAAACUCCUACGGGAGGCAGCAGUAGGGAAUCUUCCACAAUGGGCGAAAGCCUGAUGGAGCAACGCCGCGUGGGUGAAGAAGGUCUUCGGAUCGUAAAACCCUGUUGUUAGAGAAGAAAGUGCGUGAGAGUAACUGUUCACGUUUCGACGGUAUCUAACCAGAAAGCCACGGCUAACUACGUGCCAGCAGCCGCGGUAAUACGUAGGUGGCAAGCGUUAUCCGGAUUUAUUGGGCGUAAAGGGAACGCAGGCGGUCUUUUAAGUCUGAUGUGAAAGCCUUCGGCUUAACCGGAGUAGUGCAUUGGAAACUGGGAGACUUGAGUGCAGAAGAGGAGAGUGGAACUCCAUGUGUAGCGGUG
rnacentral:rRNA from 1 species